rnacentral:rRNA from 1 species
GAUGAACGCUGGCGGCGUGCCUAAUACAUGCAAGUCGAGCGAACAGACGAGGAGCUUGCUCCUCUGACGUUAGCGGCGGACGGGUGAGUAACACGUGGAUAACCUACCUAUAAGACUGGGAUAACUUCGGGAAACCGGAGCUAAUACCGGAUAAUAUAUUGAACCGCAUGGUUCAAUAGUGAAAGACGGCUUUGCUGUCACUUAUAGAUGGAUCCGCGCCGCAUUAGCUAGUUGGUAAGGUAACGGCUUACCAAGGCAACGAUGCGUAGCCGACCUGAGAGGGUGAUCGGCCACACUGGAACUGAGACACGGUCCAGACUCCUACGGGAGGCAGCAGUAGGGAAUCUUCCGCAAUGGGCGAAAGCCUGACGGAGCAACGCCACGUGAGUGAUGAAGGUCUUCGGAUCGUAAAACUCUGUUAUUAGGGAAGAACAAAUGUGUAAGUAACUAUGCACGUCUUGACGGUACCUAAUCAGAAAGCCACGGCUAACUACGUG